CUUCUGCAAAACUCCCGAUAACUACUCCAGUCCGCCGCUGCUCGCCGGAGCACCGCAUCACGCCUGGCGCCGUUUGGGUGCCUCUUCUUCCUCUCGAAGCCUCGCAGCAGCCCUAAGCUGCGUCGAGGAAAGGGUUUGGAUUUUCCGGUUGGUAUUCAGCCCAGUUGGACACGAGCCUCGGAGGAACCGUCUCACACCGCGCUCGUCAUGAACCCGCCGCCGUGCCGCACUCCCCUCCCUCCCGCGGUCCCUGACGAGACGGGACUGCGUCCAUUGGUAUGCCUUCCCUGUGCGGUCCUCCGCGGCGCCAUUCAGCAUCAAAAUGCAGUGCCCCCCCGGGCUCACCUGCAGGCUUGAAGAAUCCUAAUGCGAAGUUGCCAUCCUGAGAGAUCAGUUUCUGGUUCGUGGAGAGCUGCUGGUUUGCAGUGAGGGUAUCAGAGGCUUGAGAUUGAUAUUGGAGGAAAAUCAGCAGAAGUAAGCAUAGGACGCAUGAAGGAGAGAUUGCCAUCCACAAAAUUAAAGGAAAAGGAUGGCUUUUGUUUUUUGAGGUGAGAAAAGAAGUAAUGAACCCACAGGCACACACAACACACACUGGCUGUUUAUAUGCGCAGCAUCUACUCAUGUUAGUCGUACCAUUAAUCUAAUUUUUUUCAGAAUUUGUUGUUUUUCAUUGUCCAGUGCUGUGUCCCUUUCAGAUGUUGAAGCCGUUGUUUGUCUGGCUAGAGGUGUCUCCUAGUUUCAGCUUUCAACGGCCUUUGAUGUUUUCAUUGCCGUCCAUUUUCAGUCGACAUUAUUCCAGUUGUCAGUUAAUUGUGACCAGUGAGUAUUAGGCA